GAGAAUGGAAGAGAGGGGAAGAGAAGAGUAAAGAUUCGGCCAGAGAAUGUGGAGAGAUUAAGAACACUCAGAGAGUAUACGGUUAAGGCUCAGACAGAAAGAGAAGGAGCAAAGUUCAGCUUUGGCACAUAAACGGAUUGAAACAAAGUAAGGCCAAGAAUAAAAAUUCCUAUUUGGCUAAAGAAGAAAAAAAAACAACAAAAUCGACCAGAAGAGAAAAGAAGAGGCGAGAGACGAUAAUCCCGAAAAAAAAUAGAAUGCCGAAUAUGCAUAAAGAGCAGUUGGCACUUUGCCCACUCCCAAAAGAUCCCAACUUUUUCUUCAACCUAAAAUAAUGC
rnacentral:lncRNA from 1 species